rnacentral:rRNA from 1 species
GACAGAGGGUGCAAACGUUGCUCGGAAUCACUGGGCGUAAAGGGCGUGUAGGCGGGAAGGAAAGUCAGAUGUGAAAUCCCUGGGCUCAACCCAGGAACUGCAUUUGAAACUCCCUUUCUUGAGUGUCGGAGAGGAAAGCGGAAUUCCUGGUGUAGAGGUGAAAUUCGUAGAUAUCAGGAGGAACACCGGUGGCGAAGGCGGCUUUCUGGGCGACAACUGACGCUGAGACGCGAAAGCGUGGGGAGCAAACAGG